rnacentral:rRNA from 1 species
GCUGGAGGUAUCAGAAGUGCGAAUGCUGACAUAAGUAACGAUAAAGCGGGUGAAAAGCCCGCUCGCCGGAAGACCAAGGGUUCCUGUCCAACGUUAAUCGGGGCAGGGUGAGUCGACCCCUAAGGCGAGGCCGAAAGGCGUAGUCGAUGGGAAACGGGUUAAUAUUCCCGUACUUGGUGUUACUGCGAAGGGGGGACGGAGAAGGCUAUGUUGGCCGGGCGACGGUUGUCCCGGUUUAAGCGUGUAGGUGUGUGUUCCAGGUAAAUCCGGUUCACUUUAACACUGAGGCGUGACGACGAGGCACUACGGUGCUGAAGCAACAAAUGCCCUGCUUCCAGGAAAAGCCUCUAAGCAUCAGGUAACACGAAAUCGUACCCCAAACCGACACAGGUGGUCAGGUAGAGAAUACCAAGGCGCUUGAGAGAACUCGGGUGAAGGAACUAGGCAAAAUGGUGCCGUAACUUCGGGAGAAGGCACGCUGACACGUAGGUGAAGUGAUUUACUCAUGGAGCUGAAGUCAGUCGAAGAUACCAGCUGGCUGCAACUGUUUAUUAAAAACACAGCACUGUGCAAACACGAAAGUGGACGUAUACGGUGUGACGCCUGCCCGGUGCCGGAAGGUUAAUUGAUGGGGUCAGCGCAAGCGAAGCUCCUGAUCGAAGCCCCGGUAAACGGCGGCCGUAACUAUAACGGUCCUAAGGUAGCGAAAUUCCUUGUCGGGUAAGUUCCGACCUGCACGAAUGGCGUAAUGAUGGCCAGGCUGUCUCCACCCGAGACUCAGUGAAAUUGAACUCGCUGUGAAGAUGCAGUGUACCCGCGGCAAGACGGAAAGACCCCGUGAACCUUUACUAUAGCUUGACACUGAACAUUGAGCCUUGAUGUGUAGGAUAGGUGGGAGGCUUUGAAGUGUGGACGCCAGUCUGCAUGGAGCCGACCUUGAAAUACCACCCUUUAAUGUUUGAUGUUCUAACGUGGACCCGUAAUCCGGGUUGCGGACAGUGUCUGGUGGGUAGUUUGACUGGGGCGGUCUCCUCCUAAAGAGUAACGGAGGAGCACGAAGGUUGGCUAAUCCUGGUCGGACAUCAGGAGGUUAGUGCAAUGGCAUAAGCCAGCUUGACUGCGAGCGUGACGGCGCGAGCAGGUGCGAAAGCAGGUCAUAGUGAUCCGGUGGUUCUGAAUGGAAGGGCCAUCGCUCAACGGAUAAAAGGUACUCCGGGGAUAACAGGCUGAUACCGCCCAAGAGUUCAUAUCGACGGCGGUGUUUGGCACCUCGAUGUCGGCUCAUCACAUCCUGGGGCUGAAGUAGGUCCCAAGGGUAUGGCUGUUCGCCAUUUAAAGUGGUACGCGAGCUGGGUUUAGAACGUCGUGAGACAGUUCGGUCCCUAUCUGCCGUGGGCGCUGGAGAACUGAGGGGGGCUGCUCCUAGUACGAGAGGACCGGAGUGGACGCAUCACUGGUGUUCGGGUUGUCAUGCCAAUGGCACUGCCCGGUAGCUAAAUGCGGAAGAGAUAAGUGCUGAAAGCAUCUAAGCACGAAACUUGCCCCGAGAUGAGUUCUCCCUGAGACUUAGAGUCUCCUGAAGGAACGUUGAAGACGACGACGUUGAUAGGCCGGGUGUGUAAGCGCAGCGAUGCGUUGAGCUAACCGGUACUAAUGAACCGUGAGGCUUAACCUU